rnacentral:lncRNA from 10 species
AGGGGCGGGGUUCCAAAAGGGUGGCUUGUCCAGAGAGGCCAGCGUUCCAGUGACAGGGAUUGUUGCCAUCUCCCAUUCCCGGCUUCCUCUUGCAGACCGUAGCGUGGUGUGGCUUCAUUUCUCAGAGAAGAGCCGUGAAAAGAUACAAGCAUCUUCUCUGACGUGGGACCUCUGCUCUCCUGUCGGACAAAGAGCUCCUAUGGGGCUCUUGUCCUCGGCUGCAGUGUGUUCAUCUUGGUCCUAGGAGAGAGGCCGCUCAGGAUGGGGAUGAGAUUUCAAUUGCUCCGGGACCGACGCAUCUCCUCACGUGGGCCAGGCCUUCACACACCCAAAGCGGAUCCGCGGCCGUGAAAACGAUUGACAACCGGCCUCAUGAGCAAGACAGAGAUGCAGAAAGAGGCUCACCAAAGACAGGCCGCCAUGCAAGAAACCGCUUUGUGGCGCACAGGGCACAUUCGGCCAAAGACACACACGCACUCGGUCACACACACACAAACCCACAGAGAGAGGGAAAGAAACACACAGAGACUGAGAGGUAGAGAGAGAAGACAGAAUGGGAGACACACACAGAGUCAUACAGCAGAGGCAUUGAAACACACACCCCCACGCAACCCCUGAGGCUUCGGGGUUCUGCUCUGGAUGAGAAGGACCCUCGGGUGAGAGAGCAGCCCAGGAGCACGCAGGCCGACCUGUCCUCGAGAUCACGGCGGCACGACUUUUGGGGAGACUCACCCCAACCAUCACCGUCCGGGCAGGCCUGAGGCUGGGAUGCCGUGCUGCUUCCCCCGGACUCCGCCUGGGGUUUCCUCAUCCUGGUCGGCCCUUUGGGACUCCUGGCAUCCGGAGACGAUCCCGUCGACCCCGUGAAGAGGUCAGGCCGGAGCCUCAGAGCCCCGACACCCAAGCACUGCCAAGGAGGGCUCCUGCUUUGCCAAGCCUCGGAGACUGGUUUCUAAGACAACCGUGGGAACCACUGUG